AGCCAUAUCCAUAUCACCCUGCAGACCAAGACCGGUUACUCGUUGAAGCUAAGCAAGGCUGAGCCUGGCCAGUACCUGGAUGGGAGUACACAUGUUAAAACUAGGUUGCUGUUGGAA
rnacentral:rRNA from 1 species